rnacentral:rRNA from 1 species
GAUGAACGCUAGCGGGAGGCUUAACACAUGCAAGUCGAGGGGCAGCAUAGGGUAGCAAUACUCUGAUGGCGACCGGCAAACGGGUGAGUAACGCGUAUGCAACCUACCCUGUACAGGGGGAUAACCCGGAGAAAUUCGGACUAAUAUCCCGUAAUAAUAUCCGGAGGCAUCUUUGGAUAUUUAAAGUUCCGACGGUACGGGAUGGGCAUGCGUAACAUUAGCUGGUUGGUAAGGUAACGGCUUACCAAGGCUAUGAUGUUUAGGGGUCCUGAGAGGGUGGUCCCCCACACUGGUACUGAGACACGGACCAGACUCCUACGGGAGGCAGCAGUGAGGAAUAUUGGUCAAUGGGCGCAAAGCCUGAACCAGCCAUCCCGCGUGCAGGAAGACGGCCCUAUGGGUUGUAAACUGCUUUUCCAGGGAGAGAAACUUACGCACGUGUUGCGUGACUGACGGUACCUGGGAAUAAGCAUCGGCUAACUCCGUG